rnacentral:sRNA from 1 species
AACUUCCUCUUUUGUUUCAGGUGGGUUCAAAUUGCUUGCCCCAGACUGUCAAUAGAUUGGGGAUCUGCCUUCAGCAAGCCUCUCUUGACUCCUUAUGAAUUGAAUGUUGCUUUGCGACUGACUGAAUGGCAAGAAACGUAUCCCAUGGAUUACUACGCCAACGACAGUCUGGGCCCAUGGACGGUGAAUAACCAAGCAAACAAAGCUAAAGUGAUUAGAAAACCCAGAAUCUCAUUAAAGUCAACACAAUGCUGUGACUCCAUAGACAAAACAAAAUGUGAUGCAUCGCCCAGUUAGAAAAAUAAAAACUUAAAAAC